rnacentral:rRNA from 1 species
AUGGAUGUACCUGGACUUCCUAGCCGACUGGGAUGCAGGCUGGAUGACGCAACACAGAGGACCGAGAAAACAUCUGGGAUGUGUGGGUGUGUCUGGGCCCUCUCGAUUUGGAGUUGGGAGCGGCUGCCGGUUGGUCGCCCUGAGAAACAGCCACGGACAGAGUGGACGGAGUAUGGCGAGGAUGGCGACCGUUCUCGAUACCCUACUGUCGCCUAUUCUUGGGACAAGGUUAAGGUCUUCUCGGGCAAGGGAAGUGCGAUGUACAAGGCCUUCACCAACGAGCUGGACAACCUGACAUCUUUUCAGGUUAACUGGUGGCCGUACCAUGAUAGAGAUUGGGGGUUCGAGCUGAACGAGAUGUGCGAGCGGAACCGCCUUCUCUUCCGGUGCAUUGUCCCGCUGAUAUGCGUGUACGCCGUCGAAUGGCACCUACCAUAA